AUGAGGGCAUCGAGACCAGGCAGAACGCCGCUCGCGGUUUUGCUGUGCCUGCUCUUCUGCCCCAUCAGGAACGCCGCUCACACACUCACUAAGGGACUGGUGGGUUCCACAGGGCCCAAACCCACUGUCGCGCAAGAAAAAGAAAGCAAAGCCCCAACCAUCAGCUGCUCAAUCAUCAGAUGUAGAACUGAUAGUAAGAUGGAGAAGAGUUUGAAAAAGAACCACCCUCACCGUGGCCACCCUCGCGCCACCGCGGCGCCCAGGCCGUUCACCGCCGACACCACAGUCUGUUCACCAGUGACAUAG
rnacentral:rRNA from 1 species